rnacentral:rRNA from 1 species
UACGAAGGGGGCUAGCGUUGCGCGGAAUCACUGGGCGUAAAGGGUGCGUAGGCGGGUCUUUAAGUCAGGGGGGAAAUCCUGGAGCUCAACUCCAGAACUGCCUUUGAUACUGAGGAUCUUGAGUUCGGGAGAGGUGAGUGGAACUGCGAGUGUAGAGGUGAGAUUCGUAGAUAUUCGCAAGAACACCAGUGGCGAAGGCGGCUCACUGGCCCGAUACUGACGCUGAGGCACGAAAGCGUGGGGAGCAAACAGG